rnacentral:rRNA from 1 species
CAGGAUGAACGCUAGCUACAGGCUUAACACAUGCAAGUCGAGGGGCAGCAUGAUCUAGCUGCUAGAAUGAUGGCGACCGGCGCACGGGUGAGUAACGCGUAUCCAACCUUCCCUAUAGUAGAGGAUAGCCCGGCGAAAGUCGGAUUAAUACUCUAUGUUGUUCAAUGCGGACAUCUAAGUUGAACCAAAGGUUUACCGCUAUAGGAUGGGGAUGCGUCUGAUUAGAUGGUAGGCGGGGUAACGGCCCACCUAGUCGACGAUCAGUAGGGGUUCUGAGAGGAAGGUCCCCCACAUUGGAACUGAGACACGGUCCAAACUCCUACGGGAGGCAGCAGUGAGGAAUAUUGGUCAAUGGGCGAGAGCCUGAACCAGCCAAGUAGCGUGCAGGAAUGACGGCCCUAUGGGUUGUAAACUGCUUUUAUAUAGGGAUAAAGUGCACUACGUGUAGUGUUUUGUAGGUACUAUAUGAAUAAGGACCGGCUAAUUCCGUGCCAGCAGCAGC